UUGUUGGACGCAACAACUGGGUGUGACUGAAUAAACUUACUGGCAUAUAGCUGGUUAAGGUGAUACGACACAGGUGGUGCUGCUCCUAGGGAACUAGGAGAAUCGACUUACCAGUCGGGUUGUAGGCAGAGAUGAUUUCUAAACUGUAGAAAUGCCCAUCUCUUGUUGGUAUACAGGACUCCAACCACCCUCCUU
rnacentral:ncRNA from 1 species